CUUACACAUGCAAGUCAACUUGAAUUUGGGUUUUUUAACUUAGAUUUGGGUGGCGGACGGGUGAGUAACGCGUAAAGAACUUGCCUCACAGCUAGGGACAACAUUUGGAAACGAAUGCUAAUACCUGAUAUUAUGAUUUUAAGGCAUCUUAGAAUUAUGAAAGCUAUACGCGCUGUGAGAGAGCUUUGCGUCCCAUUAGCUAGUUGGAGAGGUAACGGCUCACCAAGGCGAUGAUGGGUAGCCGGCCUGAGGGGGUGAACGGCCACAAGGGGACUGAGACACGGCCCUUACUCCUACGGGAGACAGCAGUGGGGAAUAUUGGACAAUGGACCAAGAGUCUGAUCCAGCAAUUCUGUGUGCACGAUGACGUUUUUCGGAAUGUAAAGUGCUUUCAGUUGGGAAGAAAAAAAUGACGGUACCAACAGAAGAAGUGACGGCUAAAUACGUGCCAGCAGCCGCGGUAAUACGUAUGUCACGAGCGUUAUCCGGAUUUAUUGGGCGUAAAGCGCGUCUAGGUGGUUAUGUAAGUCUGAUGUGAAAAUGCAGGGCUCAACUCUGUAUUGCGUUGGAAACUGUGUAACUAGAGUACUGGAGAGGUAAGCGGAACUACAAGUGUAGAGGUGAAAUUCGUAGAUAUUUGUAGGAAUGCCGAUGGGGAAGCCAGCUUACUGGACAGAUACUGACGCUGAAGCGCGAAAGCGUGGGUAGCAAACAGGAUUAGAUACCCUGGUAGUCCACGCCGUAAACGAUGAUUACUAGGUGUUGGGGGUCGAACCUCAGCGCCCAAGCAAACGCGAUAAGUAAUCCGCCUGGGGAGUACGUACGCAAGUAUGAAACUCAAAGGAAUUGACGGGGACCCGCACAAGCGGUGGAGCAUGUGGUUUAAUUCGACGCAACCCGAGGAACCUUACCAGCGUUGACAUCUUAGGAAAGAGACAGAGAUGUUUC
rnacentral:rRNA from 1 species